UUGAAAACUCGAAGCUUCCAUUCCCUUCCUGGAUGCUGCCUGGUCCCCUCGUUUCGCCAGCAUUUCGUGUCUGCAAAGGCUGCAGGUUUUGGACAGCAAUUACGCUACCUGCAAUGGCAGAUUACUUCACAGGAAGAAGAAACUGACAAACAUGUUGCCAUUCAGAACAGCAUUCACCUGAUUUUUGUUCCUUUAUUGCAAAUCUGAUUCCAGGAGCUGUCAAAAAGCAUCUGGAGUAACAAUACUACAUCGAAUCCAAGCCCUGCUCCUACGUACGGUCUGAUUCCACAAGGUUACGCUCAGGCUGCUCCUCCUUACCCGACUCCACUCCCAAAGAAUGGAAUGUAUGGUAAGGUUGGCAAUGUAACCAAUUGCCCACCCUACCCCCAAGAGCCACCACCUAUGCCAUGUAUGCAAAGCCCACCUUAUCCAACUCCAUCACAAGUUCCUUGUGCCCCUCCUGCAUACAGUCAAUACUCGUCAGUGGGCGUUGCCAUGCCAAAUCCUAUUGCUCCCUCUCCAAUUAUGCCUGCCUACGUCAACCAGCAAACUUUAACAUCAUGCAUGGUCGCCCAGCAGCACCCUUUGGUACUACAAAUGCCCAACCAGCAGAUUUCUACAACAACGAUGGCCAUGAUACAAUCUAACAGAGGUGUACCAGCGAGUAUUAUGCACAGCGGAUAUCAACCUCCAGUCGUCUAUCAGAAGUCUUCAAAUAGCCUCACCAAAGAAAUUGCUACUGCUGUCUUGAACAAAGUUGUGCAGCAUGCAAUUAAACCAAAACCAAAAGUUAAGGGGCAGCAAAUAACAGUUAUAACUGUACCGGGCAGUAUGGUCCUGCACAGAUGAAUGAGAAUGGAAUUUCCUCAUCUGGAUACAAGUCUACAACGGAAGCGGCGUUUUACUACAAUAUACCAUAUAUAUGACAGCCUUCACUGCAAACACCAACACUUCGCAUUAAAUAGAGCCAUCAUGACUGAUUCUCUCACUAUCAGCAUUCUAGGGGUCACAAAUGAAAAAAAACCUCAAAUGGACCCACUACAUAAUACCAUAAAUAGAAUAGCAGGUCAGAAGCUGAGUUUCCUGCAGCAAAUGAUAGCCUACAAAAUCAAAAAUUUAAAGUGCAGUACUUUCUGUAUAUUUUAUUUUUUAAAUGAUUUUUUUAAAAUUCUUAUUAAUCAUUAGUAUGUAGGACAUUGUGAGUCUUUUAUAUCAUUAUGUGCCUACUAAAACAACGUGAAACAGAUGAUAAUUUUUGCUUUAUAACUUUCCCUUGCAUCUUUAAAUUUGUAAAGACAUCACUGAAUUUUUAAUAACCAUAUACAGCAAGCAUUGUUCAAAAGUCCUAGGCAAUUGUCCCAAUUCCAAAAAAAACGGUAUGUAAUCCCCCACCCUUAACUUUCAAUGCCGUAGCCAUCGUUGAGAUGCCUAUUAAAAAUAUCCAGGAGGUUCACUGUUGACCAGAAACCCAACUGAACCAGUGACAUAUAUACAAUAAUUGCAAUAGCUGUUCAGAAUCUGGGUGUCCUUUGGUCGUUGACUAUCCACCGUCUGCAAGGCACAAAUGAAGAGGCAGAAACUCUCAAGAAACUUGACACCAUCCAGGACAAAGCCUCCUGAUAGUUGACACCUAUCCAUUAUGUAUUCGCUAGACAACUGGUGCAGAGUGUCUCCAAUGUGGAAUAAGAGUGCACUGUAGUUACUCGCCCAGACUGCUAUGACAGCACUUUUCCCAAAUCUAGAACUUCCCAACACUGGGAAAAGGACUUUGGGUGCAGGGGAACAUGGCCAUUUGCUAGUUCCUCUUCAAGUCUCAUACCUUGCUGACUUGGGGAAACACAACUGUUUUUUAAAUGAUGUUGAAUCCAAAAUCCAGGAUACUCUGCUCAACAGCAAUGUGAGAGUAACUUCAACUGGAGGAUUGCAUUGUUCAAGAAUACAGCUCACCCACACCUUUCCAAGGUCAAUCAGGGAUGGUAAUAAUCGAUGGCCUUGCCAGUGAUGUCUAGAGCCCAAAAUUGAAUGGCUUUUUUCCCCACCACCAUUUGCCCCAUUUCCUGAGCUAUUUUCACCCAGUCUAGCAAUGCAGAUUCAAGAGGUAUGUCUUUGAACGUGAACAUGUGCAACACCUAAUCAGCUCUGCCCCAGG